UAACCUCUGACGAAAGCCGUGAAUGUUG
rfam:Capnocytophaga haemolytica strain CCTG 32990, complete genome.